rfam:Ananas comosus cultivar MD2 ACMD2_Scaffold_8414, whole genome shotgun sequence.
GUCGUUGUAGUAUAGUGGUGAGUAUUCCCGCCUGUCACGCGGGUGACCCGGGUUCGAUCCCUGACCCGGGUUCGAUCCCCGGCAACGGCA